rnacentral:misc_RNA from 1 species
UUUUUUCAGAGCUUAUUAGAUUUAACAGAAAUAGAAUUAUGCAAUGUUCUUUUAGAUUGGCCUAAUUCUAUUUAGCUGCAAGUGUUUAUACACGUGCCAUUUGUACCUGUGAGUCCGUGUUAGCUAACGCCCUUUUAAGUCACGUCAGUAUUGGAAACCGCGAAACAACGUCAGUAUACCUAAAAACAAAAAAACAAAAGAAAAACAAUCGAAGAAUGCAACGAAUCAGCUAGGAAGAUUGCAUUUGAGAAAGGACAGUAACCAGAAAUUAGUAGAACUCUACUAAAAUGUCGCAGGCUGCAUCUACGACUCAGAGUGCGGCAGCUGCACCGGUGGGGGGCAACCGACGGCCCCUUCCCAACGAUGUUGUGGGCGGCGUAGGCGUCAUGGGGACCACCAUGUCAGCUCGAUACGGGGAGACCGAGUGGGAGGCCCGAGAGUCCCAGAGGCAGAGGGAGCUGCAUGAAGCUCGCGCCAGGGCGGCUCAGAUGGAAAAGACCAUGAAGUGGUGGUCCGAUUGCACUGCCAACUGGCGAGAGAAGUGGAGUAAGGUGCGUAACGAGCGCAACAAAGCCAGGGAGGAGUCCAAGCAGCUGAGUAUCAAGCUGGACGUCGCUAUGAAAGAUGCACACUCCCUCAAGCGCGAGAAAAACGAUCUCGAGCUGCAGAUUACGCAGCUCAAGAAGGAAAUGGAGAAGGUGCACUCGCUGAUGAUGAAGCAUGCCGGUCAGUUCCAUCGCGCCGACACCAGCGAAGAUGCAGAGGCCAACGGGCGGGAUGCUAACUGUUCACCGGACAUCUCGUCGGAUGGACUUAAGAACGUUAAUAGCGAGGAUGGUCUGGUCAUGAAAUUGCCCAGUGAAGCCAAGGAUCAAGACAUCGAGGAGUUCGCCUUGAAAGGGGCCAUGCCGAAGCAUCUUACAGAGUUGGAUGAAGCGGCUGCUGCUGAGGAAAAGCGUCUGAUUCAGCAGCUUUCAAAGGAUGACUUUGAUGAGGACUACUUGACGCAGAAGAUAUCUAUGCUGCAGUUGCGUUUGGAUGAGGCGCAGAAAACCCUUCAGGCGGAAAGAGAUGAGAAACUGGAACUGCACAAGAGCAUUGAGAAGCUUACCCUAGAGAUCCAGGACGUGCGUGGCCGACAGGAGGAGAUGCGUUCGGCGAAACAGGAAGCAGUACGAGAACUUCUCACUCUGCAGGAGCAACAUCGCGCCGAGAUGCGUAUCGUUAACAACUCCCUACAAGAGGAGAUUGCCGCUCGCGAGAACCUUGAGCGUCGACUCACCGAACUUCGCACUGAGCUGGAGCACUUGCAAGCAGAGAAUGCAUCCGAGUGGGGUAAGCGGGAGCGCCUGGAAUCGGAGAAACUUGCCAUGGAGCGGGAUAACAAGAAGCUGCGUGCUGAACUGAGGGACUACCAGGAACGAUCUGAUCGCAAGUGCCGCCCCAUGCAGGCCAACGACGUGGAGCUGCGGGCCUUGCAGCAGGAGCUCUCGGAGCGCAACAAGGAAAUUAGCGAAGUAAAGAUGUCACACGCCAAGCUAAAAAAGCUGCUGGCCGAGACAAAUACCGAGCUGGGCCAUGCCGUUCGUCGGGCGGAGCAGUACGAGGCGGAGGUGAAACGCCUUCGUCAAAGGGUGGAGGAGCUAAAGCGAGAACUGGCUGGUGCCGAGGAUGAACUGGACUCGGCAGUCAACCAGGUGCGUCGGCUGCAGCGCUCCAAUGACGAGCUGGUGGGCCAGACCGAGGGGUUGCAGGUCCAGAUACAGCAUCUCCAGAACAGACGUGCCCCGAGCCCACAGAUGAGGGGACUGGGCGGGGUGCAAUUAAGGAACAAGAUCGCCGUGGAGCUUCCCAACGACUGCUUGCCGAAUAUAAACGAUCUGCGACAGAUCUUUGAUGACUCGCAGGCGGGACUAAGGAGCUCCCAUAACGGCAGCGAUGCCGCUGUCCAUCAUGCCGCCUCGGUGAAGAGAUCCAGUCACACGGAACGAACUCUGCUCCAGCAGCAGCAGAGCAGUGCAGCCGCAUCCGCGGCGGCGGCAGCUGCAGCAGCAGCAGCGUUUUUUGAUGCGAAGCCCACGCACCUGGAGGAGAACAUCUUCGAGUCGAAGUCGAGGAACCUGGAGUUCGAGCGGGCCAAACAGAAGUUCGAUAAUCCGCAUGGCCAGCACCAUCAUCACCAGAGGCAGCGCUCGGGGAAUGGACGGUAUGGCAGUGCAGGAAGCGGAGCUAGUCGGGCGAAUCUUGCCCUGCCCCUCAAGGGCAUAAACAAUGGGGGUAGCUCCACUUCCUCCUCCACCAAAGACGAGCUCAACCGACAGCUGUACGAGGCGCACGAGAAGGAGCAAGCACCUGGGGUGGGAUAUGCCAGGAAUAGUAUUAAUCUAGAUGGUCUUAAGGUAUCUGAUGAUGAGACUCCGUAGCUAUGGCUCGACAAGUUUGCUUCUGGACGAUGAAACCGAGGGAAACAGCGAUUGAAACAAAUACAUUCGACAGAGAGUUAAUGAUCUGUAUAAAAUAAAAAUU